ACACGACUACAUUAGAUACCCGUGUAGUCCUAGCCGUAAACGAUACUCGCUAGGUGUCGGCCACGGUGCGACCGUUGUCGGUGCCGUAGGGAAGCCGUGAAGCGAGCCACCUGGGAAGUACGGCCGCAAGGCUGAAACUUAAGGAAUUGGCGGGGAGCACCACAACGGGUGGAGCUUGCGGUUUAAUUGGAUUCAACGCCGGAAAUCUUACCGGGACCGACAGCAACAUGAAGGCCAGGCUGAAGACUUUGCCGGAUUAGCUG
rnacentral:rRNA from 1 species